CCUCCUUCCCUCCUUCCCUCCUUCCCUCCUUCCCUCCUUCCCUCCUUCCCUCCUUCCUUCCUUCCUUCCUUCCUUCCUUCCUUCCUUCCUUCCUUCCUUCUCUCUCUCUUUCUUUCUUUCUUUCUUUUUGUUGGAGUUUGACUGCUGUUGCCAGUCAAUCUUGGCUCACUGCAAUCUCCACUUCCCAGGUUCAAGCGAUUCUCCUGCCUCAGCCUCCUGAGUAUCUGGCAUUACAGGCAUGUGCCACCAUGCCUGGCUAAUUUUGUAUUUUUAGUAGAGACAGGGAUUAUCCAUGUUGGUCAGGCUGGUCUUGAACUCCAGACCUCAGGUGAUCUGCCUGCCUCGGCCUCCCAAAGUGCUGGGAUUACAGGCAUGAGCCGCUGCACCUGGCCGAUGUCUAGGAUUUCUUAUAUCUCUCGCACAAUGAUCCUAUGAAGUCAACAUCUUCGGGUGCUGAGUGUAAAGCACUUCACUGCAUGUGGCGGUGAAAAGAGCACUGAAUGUGGAGUCAGAAGACACGGAUCUAAAUCCUGAACUAUUGAUCAUGAAUUCAGGCAACUUUCUUGACUUCUCAGAGGCCCAGUUUUUCUCCUACUAAAGGGAAAAAAUAAUGUCUGCCCACAAGUUUCUGCUGAGGAUUGGAUGAGGGCAUCAUAGUGCAGUACCUCAAACAUGUAGGUGUUUCUAGUGUGACCUUAAGUUGAGAAACCCAAGGCUACAGUCUAAUCCCAAGUCUGGGGGGAGCCAGGGAAAUGUGACCUGCAGGACCAGCCCCACUUAGUGGAUACUGAACGGAUCUCCCAAUGCCCAACAGCCAUGUUGUACAUUCCCCGGCCCCAGAAGCAGGUGUCAAUUGGAUUUCGAGAGGUGUGAGGCCCGCUGCAUACUGCGUGUCUGCUCUGGAGGUCUGCUUAGGGGUCUGCUUUAUAUUUCAGGAUUUUCAUUUUUUAUACCAGCUCAUUUACAGAUGUUUGAUCAGGUGUGAAUUUCUACCAAGAAGAUUGUAAAAAGCAAAUUUAACAAGUGAGUCUGAAAUGCCAUAGGAAGGGUCAGACUUUACACAAAUGACGUACUGGACUUUAAAAACCAACAAAGUUGCCCUUUCUUCUUCAUUUCCUUGAGACGCUUCUGGAAGGAAAGUUCAGGAGUUCACCUUGCCUGCGUCGCUGCUAACCAGGCAGUUAUACCAACCUGCCUCUGCUCAUGCUGUCCCCUUCUCUUGAAACAUCCUUCCCCUCCUCUUACCUGGCCGAACACCACUUUUCCAUUAAGGCCUAGCUAAAAAGCAUCUCUUUUUUUGAGCCCUGAUACCUCAGGGUCUAGAGAGAAGAAAUCCCUCUUUUACUGGCGUAAUGCCUGUCUCAUAUCUUUACUAUAGUAACAUCGGGCAUUUAUUGAGAGCUUACUGUGUUCCAAGCACUGUCCUAACUGCUUUACAUAGAUUCAUUCAUUUUAUAUUCAUAAAAACUCUCAGAUAGGAACUACAGUCCUCAUUUUGCAGAUGAAAAUUGAGACACAGAAAGGUAUAGCUUGUCCAAGGUCACAUGGCUAAGAAACAGCGAAUCAGGAUUUGAACCCAGGUUCUUGAGCAAUCACAGUACACACAUGGUAACUAAUAAUGUGUGCAUCAGUUUCCCCUACUAGGUUAUAAGGACGUUUCUGUCAGGGCUCUGUCUUACUCCUCUGAGCAUAGGCAGCUUUUAUCCUGAAUAAAUGAAUGAAUGAAUGAAUAGCACAUGCUAGCACAUGGUAACAAAUUCAAACUACAGAAAAUGCUAAAAAUAGAGUAUCUAUGCCCCCAGUUCAAGUUUCCAUCUGCAUAACAAACACUGCUUUUUGUGAUUUCUUUGAGACAUUUUAAUGUACACACCAGCAUAUAUGUAUUUUCCUUUAAAAAUGUAUCCGAACAGGAUCACACUGAAGUACAUUCUGCUCCUUGCUAACACAUACAGGUAUAAAGAUAAUUUUUAACUUAUGACAAAAUGAAAACCCAAUGAAGGGAUGAUGUAUGAUGUUUUGGUUAACUAUAGUACUUGAAAAUUCCUUUGAUUUUUGUGUCCAUAAAAAUAGUUGUUCUGACCACGUGGUUUUAACCUCAGAUCCUUUGGUGAUGAGGAACAGAAAUUAGGAAAGAGAACUAAUUAGCUGUCUUAACCAAUGUGCUUGUCCACAAUGCUCAGAAUCACUAAAGGAUUCUUCCUGUAAUUUCUGUUAUUCUGUCUUUACAAAAAAAUAUAUACUGGAGGUUUUUUUUGAAAUAAAAGGGGGACAGCAGAGAGCUUUGACCAGAGUGCAAAGGCUCUGGAAUCCCUCGGGCGGCAGUCAUGGUAGCCUGGGUGGUGGCUUUCAUGACUUAAAAAAAAUUGUAAAAUACACAGAACAUAAAAUACUAUUUUAACCAUUAAAUGUACAGUUCAGUGACGUUAAGCACAUUCACAUUGUUGGGCAGCCAUCACCACCAUCCAUCUCCAGAACUCUCUCCUUAUAAAACCUCAGCUCUAUACCUGUUAAAGACCAACUUCCUAUUCCCUGACCCCGGCCCCUGGGAAACACUAUUCUACUUUCUGUCUCUAUGAAUUUGACUACUGUAAAUGGAAUGGUACAGAAUGUAUCUUUUUGUGUCUGGCUUAUUUCACUGAACAUAAAGCCUUCAAGUUUCAUCCAUGUUGUAGCAUGGAUCAGAAUUUCCUUUCUUUUUAAGGCUGGAUGAUCUUCUAUUGUGUGUAAAUGCCACAUUUUGCUCAUCCAUUCAGCAAACCAUCAGUGGAUGCUUGGUUUGUUUCCACCUUUUGGCUACUCUGAGUAAUGCUGCUAUGAACACAUGUGUACAAAUAGCUCUUCAGAUCCUUGCUUUCAGUUCUCAUGGAUGUAUACUCAGAAGUAGAAUUGCUGGGUCAUAUAACUCUGAUGCAGGACAGAUGAACCCUCAAACUGAGACUUUGCCCAGGAAAGAAUCCAAGGGUAAGUCAGUGACAUUAGACAGCAAUUGUUAAUCGAAUGGUACUGCUCUUUGCAGAGAAGGGCUGACUCAUAGGCAGUGCGUCCAGAGUGCAAUGUACGGGCUAUUGGCAACUGUAUUUAUACUCCUUCAAACCCACUUUCAGUUACAUGCAAAUUAGGGGGUGAGUUAAUGGAAACUGAGGGGCAGGUUACUUAGCACUUUCUAGGAAGGGGGUGGUAACUUCUGGGUCAUUGCCAUGGCAUUUGUGAACUGUCAUGUGAUCAUGGGCUGGUGGGAUGUGUUAUGUUAAUGAGCAAUGGGGCCAGCUAGGAAUUGCUUUGGUCGCCAUCUGCUGGUUUUGGCUGGUUUCUUCACUUCCUCUGUCUGGGUCUGGGAAACAAGUCCUACUGGUCUCCUACCUCAAUUCCAUGUUCAAUUUCUUGAGGAACUUCCACACUGCUUGCUAUAGCAGCUGCACUAUUUUACAUUCCAAACAGCCGUGCAUAGGAGUUCCCAUUUUUCCACAUCCCGUUUUUCCACAAUGCUUGCUAUUUUCUUUGUCAGUGGCCAUCCUAAUGGGUAUAAGAUACUAUCUCAUUGUGGUUUGGGCUUAUAUUAUUUUUCACCCAAGACAAAUUAUUCUUCACCCUGGGUUUGAGUAGGAGUGUCCCUGAUUUAUUUGUGUUUUGAAGAGGAAUUUUUACAAAGGCAGAUUCCCUACUGAAUGGGAGGUCAGGGCAGCUUUGCCAGCCUACGCGUAGGCCUAAAUAUGGGAUACGACCUUUAAAAGGUACUGGCUGUACCACCUGGCUCAGCGGGUCCUCAAUGACCUCCCCAGGGCAUUCCUGGCUGUUAAAUCCUGCCCUGACUCAUGGGGUGGGGAGUGAGUUCUCUCUAACAUAAUACCAGGACAGCUUUGUGCCUCCUGUUAUGUAAAGGAAGAAUGUUGUUCCAAGUAUCAGGGCCAUGCGUGGACGGGCCUCCUGUUUCACCAAGCAGUGACAAAGACUCUGCACUGAGACACACACAGAAUCUUCUCUUUGGGCCCUGGAGAGAGGAUUCUUUGCACUGCUCCGUUUGUGCAGAACUUGAAAAUGCUUGUUGAUGGGAAGACUAAAUCGGUUUAGAUCUAUUUUCUGCAGUUGGGUGAAAUAGCUCAGGAUGUGAGGAUGGAGUAUGUAAUGCCUCUCGGUGAACAGAGGAAGAGAAACGUGCUGUCCCGUGCUGCUUUGUGCAGAUUUCUUCUUGUUCUGCCUUCAGCCAACAAGAAAAAUAAAUAGCUGAUUUACACAACAAAAAAAAAUGUUACUUUUUGGGUUUGUUUUGGUUUUAUUCACUAAAACAGCAAUUUCCUGCCAUGGAGAAUAAGAGAUUGUUAUUCUUAUUUGAGUCAGCAAAUUGAGCUCCCUGCUUAAAGAGGGAAGACAGGCUCAUUGCCACGGCUGACUGGGACCAGGAAUUUGAAAAGGACCUGGAGGGGCAUGUGUUACAAGCUCAGACUCUAUAUACCUCCAUCCCGCCUCACUGAUUACUACCUCCAAGCAAUGCUUGAAAAGAAACUUGAGAAGAACUUCCAGACCACUCCCAUCAUCUUCCCUUCCCUUUGUAUGGAGGGGAAUGGGAAACUUUGUUGAGAAAGUCCCCAGUAGAACGAUUUCCCUGUUGACAGUUCCUAAUGCAGUAAGGAGAACCUAAGAACUUAACCCAAGCGAAGCCCUCACCUGCUGAGAAAUGGGGAAGAACUAAAAACACUAAAUAAAUCAAUAAGCAGCACAGUCAGCCAAACAAGCAUCUUGCUUUUUUCUGUAAUCUGUCAUAAAGACAUUUUGCUAUAUCAUAAUCACAUCAGAAGACAAAUUCCAAGGGCAGAGAUAUUUGGAAAAGCACCCAAGAAGGAGUUUCUUGCAACCAUACAAAGCUUCUGAGCGUGCUUCUCUGCCUCGCAUUCUUCUAGCUUCUGUGACAUCCUAGAAUUUUAAAGCUGAGGGGACAUUAAAGUGACAGAUAUGAUAUUUAGUUGGAUUGGCUACUUAGUUGCCAUUAGAAAUAUUGUAAAGGACCUUAAUAGUAAAAUGCAAAGACAUUAUUUAGCACCUGGUUGGAUGUUGGGCUAGGUGAUAAACUAAGAAAUUUUUUUUUUGUUUUGAGAUGGAGUUUUGCUCUUGUUGCCCAGGCUGGAGUGCAAUGGCGCAAUCUCAGCUCACUGUAACCUCGGCCUCCUGGGUUCAAGCGAUUCUCUUGCCUCAGCCUCCCUAGUAGCUGGGAUUACAGGGGCCCACCACCAUGCCCAGCUAAUUUUUUGUAUUUUUAGUAGAGAUGGGGUUUCACUGUGUUGGUUAGGCUGGUCCCAAACUCCUGACCUCAGGUGAUUCACCUGCCUCAGACUCCCAAAGUGCUGAGAUUACAGGCAUGAGCCACAGCGCCCGCCUGUACGAAUAAAUUUAAUCAGGCAUUUCAAAGGAAAGAGCUACGGCCUGCUCUUGCCUUCUGGCAAAAUUAGUUUCCAUAAUCAUAAUAAAGUAAAAUGUGGCAGCAACAAUACGUAACCUCAUUUCCCAUCAUCAAAAGUGUUCAUGAACUAUCUCUCUGUGCUAAUACGUUAAAGCAUGCUAAAGAAGUUAUGGCCAACGCAGAAAUAUGAAUAAUAGAUCUUAAAUAUAUACACUAAGCAAAUGAAUGUUUAUAGUACAUGCUCUGAUUUUAAGCAGGUCUACGAAGUUUCAGAAGGUGGCCAAAUAGUAAAUUACUUCAAAAACCAUACUGAGGACAGAGUUUCAGAUGCUGUUGGUGACACAAACAUUUGAAUUUCUACAAAGGUCUGAGAAGACUUAGCUUUUUUUCUAGUGGUACAGGACAACAGAUUGCCCUGCACAGACCUGGGACUUGUAGGUAUCACAGGAGUUUGGGAGCUGGACAUCAAAGUGUGAUGUUGAGGAGGAUGUAAUAGAGGCAUGCAAUGGCAGCCCUUGACAAAAAUUUAAAUACAGGUGGUUGAGAUGCUCAGUAAAUACAGCCUGGCAUCAGUUCCCCGCAUCCGACUUUCUAAUCAAUAAAACAGUCGAUCAGUGUCUGUCAUGAGCUGACACUGAGUUAGAUGCUAGAGAUACUGAGAUGCCUUGGUUGGGUCAGAAAUGCAAACAAAUCAUUCAACACAAAUCCACAAAGAUGCACGAUCAACAGAGGUGGAGAGAAGGUGGACUCCUCUUAGCAUAGAACAUAAGGGAGGGGAGUGUUUAAGAAAGAAUUCACAAAGGGAAACUUUCCUGAGUUGGGUCUUGAAUAAUAAGUAGGAAUUCCAUCAGUUUUCUGAAAGUAGAAAACUGGAACACGUGCAUCAGAAUCACUCCCAAAGCUCAUGAAAAAUGUUCUUGGGCUUCAACCCAGACCUACUGAUUAAUCAUUUCUGGGGAAGGAGCUUUGUAAAUUUCAGGGCCACUAUCCCAGGCCCUAAGGUAGGCAAAGGCAUUGCCGGUAAUAACUCACCUACCUUUCUUUACUGUUGUCUACUGCUCUGUCCUUGACUUUCAAAACACACUCUGAUUACCUACCUAAUAAUUAACUUGCAGGGAUAAUGUAAAUAUUUUUAAAAACUUCUUAUUUAAAUAUUGAAAAUUACAUAACCAGCAGCCUAUUGUGGCCAUGUGCCUUCAUAUGACACCCUUGUUCGCUGGUCUGUACACUAAUAACUGGGAGUCCACAGUUGCUCACAUAUCAGAGUGUACUGCAUUGGAGCAGGGUUCUGGGGGCCCCUUCCCUGCUAGAUAUUGACCCUGUAGUUACCGGUCCUAGGGCAGUCCUGAGGCUGAGAGGAGGCAAAGUCGGCAGGUGGGAGGAGCUCCUGGGAGUCUCAGAACAUCCCCUGUUUACCAGCCAGUAUGGAGGUAUUUCCAUGUUUGAAUAACUGGGACAGUACUGGCAUAUUUCCCCAAUGUCCACAAUCAAAUGAAGGACAAUGAGACAGGAACCCGAAGAGUUCAGCUAGGUAUUCACGUUCUUCAUAUAGGAGGGCUUAAACAUAUCUUAAGAGUAAAAGCACAGAUCAAUCAAGGGUGUUGGCAAGUAUGUGCUAGCUGUGUACUUAACGUUUUUUAUUAAUUUAUUUUUAACUGACAAAUGACAGUUGUAUAUAUUCGUGGGACACAGCAUGAAGUUUUGAUCUAUGUAUACUUUGUAGAAAGGGUCAAUCAAGCUAAUUAACACAACCACCACCUCACCAUCUUAACACUGUUAUGUGGUGAGGAUGUUAAAAAUCUAUUCUUUUAGCAUUUUUGAAAUACGUACAAUACAUUAUUAACAACCAUGGUCACCAAGGCAGGCAAUAGUUCACUAAAACUUAUCCUUCCAGUCUGAGACUUUGUACCCUUUAAUCAACAGCUCCUCUAUCCCCAUCCCUCCCCCACUCCACCCUUCAGCCUCUCAAUUUUGAUUUGUAAGAACGGUGCUAAAUACAAUGACUCUUACUGUCUCUAAAGUUGAUAGCCACUGUUAUCAUAGCCACGUUACAGCACUUGUAUUAAUCCUAACUGUAUUCUUUGCAUUAAUCCUGACUGCAUAAUUUGUAUUUUGGGGCCCAUCAGAAUACAUUCCUAGUUCUCUAGAGCUUGCUUUGCUUUGGAUUUCAUCCUCUCUGUGCGCCUAGAUGUUGCUUUUCUCUGAGGCCUGAGUUUGGACAAUCCGACAACCCCAGAGAUUAAUGGAGAGUUCCAGGCACAUGAUACCUAGUCAUGCAUGCUCUUCUCUGAGCCCCGGCGGGAGUCCUGAGCCACCUGAGCAGCUCAUGGAUGUUCCACACAGUGCUGGGUCUCCACUGACAGCUGCCCACAAGGCCAGCAGCAUGCAGUCCUUGCUGAGUUUAGUCUCUGACUCCCUCCCCACUCCUUACUGGCUUCCCUCUGAGUUACCCAAGUAUGAGAUUAGCUCUUCAGAGCCCUUGUGGAUGGAGGCAAGAUGUAAAUAGACACAUGAGGCCAGGACACAUAUUUUAUAAAAUGUUUCUUCACACCAAUUCAUGACAUAUAUUAACUAGGUCAACGCUUCUGAAAUUCUAAGGUGCAUGGGAACCACCUGGCGACUGGUUAAAGAGCAGAUUUUGAAUAGGUGGGUGAUGGGAAGGGGCUGAGGUUCUGCAUUUUUAGCAGGUUUCUAGGGGAUGUCCCCACUGCAGGUUCACCAGCCUACUUUGAAUAAACUGGACCAGGUGACUAAAUGCUGGGGGCAGUCAUAACUCAUUAGUUUUUUACUUAUGAAGUUUGUGUUAUAUACUACAAAUGGAUUCAUUCAAAGACAUUUUUUAAGAGCUUUGUAGUAUCUCCUUGCUUUUCAGAGGUAGCUUUUUUUUUUUUUUUUUUUUUUUUUUUUAAGAUGGAGUCUCGUUCUGUCGCCCAGGCUGGAGUGCAGUGGGGCGAUCUCGGCUCACUGCUACCUCAGAGGUAGCUUUUUAAAAGUCACUCUGCUUUGCACUGUGUGUGUUUCCUGUGGAAGGGAAGAUGCAGAAAGAUAAACCAUUAGGAGGUUAAGUGUUUUGCUCAGUGAGUCUCAGUGCAGAUCUCUAAAUAUUCCUGCAGUCCAGGGUACCACACCUUACCUCACCUUAGGAAACACCAGGCCCCUCUGAGCCUCCGCCAGCAUGCCCCACUGCAGGAAGCCAGUGGGCUGGGGGAGACUGGACUGAACUUAGGCUCUGAGUGGGAGACAGGAGAUGCAGUGAUAAAAAAUGAACUUAAAAUAAAAAUUAAAAAGCAUACCGAGAACACCAUGUGAAAUGAAGGCUCUUAAAACUGUCUGCGGCGGGAAGAAAUCAAAGAGUUUUAUUGGGUGAUGAAGAAACACUGUAAACUUCAUGUGAAAACAUUCCAAGAUUUGGACUUGUGUUAUAAAAGGGAAAUUUUACUGAGUAAGACUCAUUUUAAUGAAAUGAACAUGAGGAGCUGUGAUUCCAUUUGAAGUUGGUUGACGUACACAUGCACUCAUGCUCUCGAUUUCUUAGUAGCCUCACUGCACAGUUUUUGAAGUGUGCUAUUCUGGUGACGGAAUCCCAAGAAGGCAAAACAUGCCUCUUGAUGUAUAGUUUUUAGAUAUACUUUUACACAAAGUACUAUAAAUACUUCUAUGCCCUGAAAGGCGGUAUUUCUCCACCUCAGCCUGGGUCCUCCUCUCUUUCGCUUACCUCCAUUUUAAUGGAGGAAUUAAAUCACUUUCAAUUACUAAAUUUUGGCCAAGAAGCAAGGCAGAAAGCUUUCAGGCAGAGGACCAGAGGCAUGGUUGGGAAUGUUGGAUUUUUUAAUUUGCUUCCCUCCCAGGAUGGCCCGUAGAUCAUUUUCGGAGGGAGGUUUUAUGGUUGUCAGGGCCGUCUGCCUUGAACUCAUUUCCACACAUGUAUCCCUGGGUUGGGGAUAAGGAGGAGGCAGUGAUUUGAUAGAUAAUCCAUCCUGGAUAGGAUCAAAGACCUUUAUUUGUGCGGGGGAGGAACAGGGAUUCCAGUGUUGUUACAAUUACUCCAAACUGUGGCCGGAGGGAGCCCGGCUGGUAUGAAGGCCUCAGAACAAAGGCCAGAGUGACCGGAAGCAACAGAGGAAAUGGGUCCCCACCCUUUCAGUACUUUACAAUCCCUGGGGUGUGGGUGGAUUAAAAAACACCAGUGUCCUGGCCCCACUCAAGACCCAGUUUAUCAGAAUCUUCAGGGGAGGACCCAGGCAAUAAUAGCGUCCAACGACCCCAGAUGGUUGAGAGCCACAUAUUGGAGCUUAGAACACUUUGGGCAACAAAGGCAGGUGCAGUAGUGGAGCGGCAGGGUGAGCAAUGGGAGUUUGAGAGGGAAAGAAGGAGCGGCCUCAUGUCAGAGAGCUCAGAGCUUUCUCUUUGGAGAGGAUACAUAAGGUGGCAGUGGGAAGAAAAUAACAAUCUCCAACUCAUUAAAAGGUGUCAGCACAUCCAACUGGCAUAAGAUGGGGGGAAAUAACAUCUGUAUUAUCAAACUACUUACUGUGGCCACAUAGGUAGGUGAAGGUUCUUAAUUUGUUCAUUUUAACUGGCUCUUUUUAAAUUGAUGCAGACAGGCUAGAUAGAAGAAUGGAGGAGAGCAAAUAUUUGUAAUAAUUUGUAGCUGUGACCCACAGCCUGGACCCCAAUGGUGGGAGGUAGAUGUUGGGGGUUGGCCACCCCAUCUUACAGCUCUGUCCUUUACUGCCAGGCUCAAGCAUUGAGCUUUUCAAACCUCUUCAGCUCCAAACAUAUCACCCUUUCUACAACAAAAGGGUUAUCAGGAUAAGGAAACUUAGAAGUAUAUUUAUAAAGUUUUGAUGUCAAUAAGGAAUAGCCUAAUGGAGUAAAUUUCACUGGUCCUGGGCUCCACACAGUCUUUUCUUGCUAGCCAAGGCUGUUAAAUGUGGUAGCAGCGGGGCAUGAUGGCUCAUGCCUAUAAUCCCAGCACUUUGGGAGGCUGAGGUGGGUGGAUCACGAGGUCAGGAGUUCAAGACCAGCCUGGUCAAGAUGGUAAAACCCUGUCUCUACUAAAAAUACAAAAAAAGUUAGGCAGGCAUGGUGGUGGGCACCUGUAAUCCCAGCUACUCGGGAGGCUGAGGCAGAGAAUUGCUUGAACCUGAGAGGCAGAGGUUGCAGUGAGCCGAGAUCGCCCCACGGCACUCCAGCCUGGGUGACAGAGCGAGACUCCAUCUCAAAAAAAAAAAAAAAAAAAAGUGGCAGCAUGCUUUCUCUUAUGAUACAGCUUGAUACAUAUUAUAAUAAAAUAAAGUACAGUUUUCCAUGCAUCUUCAUUUGAUGGAUGAUCCAGUUAGGCUUUCCUGAAUUCACAUCUUUAAUUUCAGGCCCUUUCUUGGUCUGUGUCCUUGGAGGGUCCCAUUAACUUGGCUUCUAAAUAAAGCACUGUGCACAUAAUGUGGGGUACAUCAAAAGGCUUUAAUUUUCCUGGCAGGGUUAUUUUCUCAGGUGACUGAUUCUACCUAAUGUCAUCACCAGCCUGGGGAGGAACCACUUACUGAGUUCUGGGGACAGGCAAACACUUUCCCUUUCUGGAUUUGGUCCAUCAGAUCCUGUUCUGCCUUGCGCCAUGCCAGUCCCCACAGACCACAAAACAGGCUGUGCUUUGUGAGAAUUCCUUUUAUUACCCAGGACUUCAGAGUUUUUUCGCUGAAUGCAUGGAGAAAUUGAGUGUGUGCUGAUGAUGAAGGGAAAUUGAUUUACUUUACAAACAAUCUCUAAAAGUAUCUUCUGUCCUCAGGCAAGAAAAUGGUUUAAUAUUUCUUCUGAAAAUUCCUCUCUUUGUAUUCUUAUAGGAUUUAUUUGUUUUUUUUUCUCUCCCCCAUUAGGAACCUAAUCAAAAUUUAGUAAAGUUAUUACAAAUUGUUAUAAUUUGCUUAGAUAUUUCCAGGACUUAGGUUAAGAUGGGUAAAAAUUGUUCAUCUUGGCAUCUCCAUAAGCAGUAAUAUGAAAAGUUGUUAUUCAGGGUACAUGACCUAGCAUCCUCUACUAGCAAGAAAAGACUGUGGAACUCGUGACCCAUCACAUUUAUUUCAUUAGGCCAUUCCUUUUUGACAUUGAGCUUUUAAAAUUUAAAUAUACUUCCAAAUUUUCUUAUUCUGAUAACCCCCUUGUAGGAAGGCUAUGUGGGUGAUAUGUUCAGAGCUGAGGAGGUUUGAAAAGAUCAACGCUUGAGCCUGACGGUAGAGGACAGAGCUGUAGGACAGGGUGGCCGAGCCUAACACCUACCUGCCACCAUCAGGGUCCAGGGUGUGGGUCAUAGCUACAAAUUAUUACAAAUAUUUGCUCUCCACCAUUCUUUUUUUCUGGCCUUUUUUUCUGCACAAAUUUUGAAAGGAACCAGGCAUGCCCUAUAUAUUAUAUUAUGAACACAAUUUUCUGUAGCAACUGUAAUCCCAAAAUGCAUCACCGUUGAUAUUGCUAGCCAUCAGUUCUGUAAAUUCAGGGCCGUGGAUAUGAGCCCCUGUGGCAGGGAUGCAUCCGAGAUGGCCCCCAGGGCAGCCUGGCUUUUCAGUGGUGCAGCUUGAUGAGAGAGUGUUCUCACAGUGAGAAUGCCAUUCUAAAAAAAUGUGUUUUUGUCAUCAUACAUUGCUUUAUCAAGCACUUUUAGAACCUGUGUCUGGUGCUGGGGAAACAAAGAAGAGAAGGGACCGUAUGCCAGUGGGCAGACAGCUGCAUCGAGAACGCUGCAGUAACAUGGAAAAUGAUGGUGGUAUUGUUGAGGUCCACAAGAGACAGCCCUUAUCUUAGGCUGUAUGUCCUUUUAAGGUCAAAUCUAUUUUACAAUUGAUUUUUAAAUUGAUUUUUAUUGAAAGGGAAUGAAAGAAGGACUAGAUUAUGUUGUUCAAUUGAAUUAAUUUCCCUUUCGGUUAUUCCACCACUUUCAGGAAAAGUAGAGUUUUGGUGUAGUCCUGGGACAGGUCUGUAGGGUAGGGCGAGAGCGCACUCAUGCCCAGAUAGCCAGCCCACACCUGUGGACCAAUGCUGACCUCCUGUUCGCAUCUGGAUUCUAUGGCAGUAAAUGGGAUGAUUGACAGAGAAAAGAGGAUAAAGUGCUUGCUUAAAAAUUGUUUAAAUAAUCAAAACUAGCAUGUGAGCAAUGAAUACGGAACUCCUAAAAGCAGUACUUUGCAGAAGGAGAAAAAGAGUUUGCAGGAAUUGAGCUAAGAGUUCUAAUAAUGUUCUUGGCCUCAAACCUGCUAAUUAGAAUGGUUCUUCUCCAAAACGCACUUCAGAAAAUCAGAGUGUGAAGCAUGAUGUUAUCUAGACUUGUCUCAAAAUUAUUUUGAUUUUGCACUGCCACUGGUAAAAGAUUUUAAAGGACAUCCCAAUAUAUUUAUUUAUAAAUUGUAUAUAUUGAUGACCACUACAUGCACUUUUAUUAUUUUAUUUUAUUUUGAGACAGAGUCUCGCUUUGUUGCCCAGGCAACAAAGAUUGUGUACAGUGGCACAAUCUUGACUCACUGCAACCUCUGCCUCCCAGCUUCAAGUGAUUCUCCUGCUUCAGCCUCCUGAGUAGCUGGGACUACAGAUAUGUGCCACCGUGCCCGGCUAAUUUUUGUAUUUUUAGUAGAGCUGGGGUUUCAUCAUUUUGGCCAGACUGGUCUCAAACUCCUGACCUUGUGAUCUGCCCACCUCACCCUCCCAAGUGUUGGGAUUACAGGCGUGAGCCACCAUGCCUGGCUGCACUUUUAUUUUUAGAAAUAACAUUUAAUACAUCAGAUACUUUUAUAUGUGUCCAAUUGUAGCAAUAUAUUUUUAAAAACAUAUGUAAAAUAUAAGUGUUAAAAGAAUGGUGUCUUAGCUUGGGCUGCUCUAGCAAAUUAUUCUGGACUGGGUGGUUUAAACAGCAAACAUUUAAAUCUCACAGUUCUGGGGAUGGAGAAGUCCCAAAUCAGGCUGUUGGCAGAUCCAGGGACUGUCAAGGGCCGAGUUACUAGUGUGCAGUGGCCCUCCCAUCAUAAAAAGUGAGCAAACUAAAGGCACUAAUCCCAUUCAUGAGGGCUCCCCAGUCAUGACCUAGUCACCUCCAAAGGCAUGAGGAUCAGGAUUUUAAUUUAUAAAUUUGUGUGUGUAUAUGGUGGUGGGGGGGAACAAACAUUCAAUCCAUAAGAAAUGGAAUAAAUUGAAAUGAGUUCUAGCAUUUUUUGACAACAUCCGAAGAACUACUGUGGACACUCUCCAGGUACGCAUGCCCCACUUAGGAUACCAGUCUAUGAAGCCAGACAGAGUGGAGAGAGCUGAGUUGUGUUUCGAAUACUUGGGCAACUGGACCAUGUAGCUUUUCUUCCCUGUGUCAUCCUACACCCACAGAUAAACUAUUAUAAAAUGAAUUGGUAAAUAGUUCCAAAGGAAUCUUAUGCAAAUAUAGAAAUAUUUUUAAGUGAAUUUGCAUGAAAGAGGCCCUUAGGUUCAUCCCAGCCAUUGAUGUGAAUUCAACAGAGGAACAUAGUCACUGAUGUGGUUUUCAUCCCAUUAACUGGGGAUGGUCGGGAUUGGGUCAGAAACUUCAUGCUCCAGAGCACUGGUGCUAUCCUCUUUAAUCUGUAGACGAAAUGUUUUAUUUUUGGACAACAAACAAGAUGUAUCUACAGACUUGUGUUUCCUAUUUUAGCAACUUCUAGGCAUAAUGUAGAAAUACAAAGUAAAAACGUUUCAUAUUGAGGUUCACGAGGUUGCUGUCCUGGAAGGAACAGGCAAAAUACAACUUCUGUUUGUUGGAAACUCUUCAAUUCCAAGUUCCUCUAGAUGUCACUAUUACAUAGGGAAAUGAAAAUAUAACAGCCUUUGGCAAUGAAUAAAGACCUUCUUAGAUUAUUUAAAUGAAAAAACAUAUGUGACAUAUAAUUACUGAAGAAAAAAGCAGACUCACUUGGAAGCUGGCUUCUUAUAUUCCUCAAUACCAACAGCUUCUUCUGUUGGUCAAGUCCGACUCUAUAUCCAAAGAAUAUUUUCCCAGCGUGUGGACUUUUCCACUUGACACUCAGACGGCCUCAGAGGCAAAAGUGGAUCCAUCAGUGCUCUACAGAUUUUUACAGCCAGCUCUUCAAUUUUAUAUACUUUGAUGGGCUGAAAUUGACUGAUACAUAGCAGUUUUCAUUAUUAAAUCCACAUGUGCUUAUAUCAUUGCAUUCAUGCCACACAGAAUAAAUCCAGAAGCACAAUGUCUAUUGCUACACCAGGAGUUUUCAUUUCAAAAGGGAAGAACUGAAAGAUGGUUAUAAAACAUUUUAAACACAAUUUGUUAAACUUAUUUAACUAAUUUGGAUAUAUGUUUUCAAAAUUGAACUUAAAUUCUCUUCUUUUUUCUUUUUUGCCUCUCUUCCAUGUUAAUUGUAAUCUUUUGACCAAUAAAUAUUUAUCUCUUCACUCUGCUAAUUUGUUUUUGAUUUAUGACCUUCUCUCUGGGGGCUGAGAGGUCCCAAAUCAGGCUGCUGGCAGAUCCAGGGGCUGGCAAGGGCCAACUAUGUAGUUGAUCUCAAUAAAUACAAAUCAUGUAACUUGGCUAUAAUCCUUCUAUCUUUUUUUGUUGUUCAGAAAGGCAGUACAGUGUGGUAAUUAGGUGCACAGACUGAAGUAGACAGCUGGGUUAGAAUCCUAGCUCUAUCAUUUAUAAACUUUAUAACCUUGGGAAAUUACCUAAUUUCAUUUAUAAGAUGGGGCUAAUAGUAUCUAUCUUAAAGGGCUAUUAGGAGCAACCAGGUAAAUGAAGUGCUUAGAAGAGUGACUGGUACAUAGUGUGUGCUCAAUAUGCGAUUGCCAUCACCACUACCACCAUCAUCACCAUGACCACCACCAUCACCAUGACCACCACCAUCACCACUACCACCAUCAUCACCAUGACCACCACCAUCACCAUGACCACCACCAUCACCACUACCACCAUCAUCACCAUGACCACCACCAUCACCAUGACCACCACCAUCACCACUACCACCAUCAUCACCAUGACCACCACCAUCACCACUACAACCACUACCACCAUGACCACCACCAUCACCACUACAACCACCACCACCACCACAAUCACCACUACAACCACAAUCACCACUCCCACUACCACCAUCACUAGCACUACCACUACCACCAUCACCACCACCACCAGCACUACUACUACCAUCACCAUCAUGACCACCACCACUGCCACUACCACCAUCACCAUGACCACCACCAUCACCACUACAACCACCACCACCAUUACCACCAUCUCCACUCCCACUGCCACCAUCACCACCACCACCAGCACUACCACUACCACCAUCAUUACUACCACCACCAUCACUUCCACUACCACCAUCACCAGCACUACCACUGCCCCCCAUUGUAACUACCACCAUCAUUACCACUAUCAGCAUGAUUACUACCACUACCACCACCAGCAUGAUCCCCACUGUCAUGACCACUACCACCACCACCAUCAUCAUCAUCAUCAUCAUCACUACAUACUGGUCUACUGAUCUCUGGGUUAAGCACCAGGGAGUCAAAGAUGAACCAGUCUUUUUGUCCAUUAGAAUUCCACAAUCUAGUGGGAUAUUGACAGGAAAAAAGCUUAACAAAGUGUUAUAAGGGAUACCAGGGCUGGGGCUACAUGCUGAGUUCUGUGCAAGCACAGAGAAGGGAGCAAUCAGCUUUGCCUGAGGAAGCUGCAGCUCAUUUUCUCUGCAAAGGGAAAAGUAGGCAGAUGCCUCUCUGCACCUUCACUUAAAGAGAAACUCUGAAGCUCUCACUUCUAGCCUUGGCUUUCCACAGAUUUACUAAACAUGCCUUUAUGUUGUAAGUUCACCAUCUAAAACACAGGAAUACUUUGAAUCCAUGGAGCUGCCCUCUGAAUUGUUUAAAAAAACAUUUGCAACCAGGUGCGGUGGCUCACACCUGUAAUCCCAGCACUUUGGGAGGCCAAGGUGGGCAGAUCACCUAAGGUCAGGAGUUCAAGACCAGCCUGGCAGUCAUGGCAAAAUCCCGUCUCUACUGAAAAUACAAAAAAUCAGCUAGGCACGGUGGUGCAUGUCUGUAGUCCCAGCUACUCGAGAGACUGAGGGAGGAGAAUAGCCUGAACCCGCAAGGUAGAGGUUGCAGUGGGCUGAGAUCAUGCUAUUUCACUCCAGCCUGGGCAACAAAAGUGAAACUCCUUCUCAAAAAAAAAAAAAGCACAUUUUCAAUUUGUCUCGAUAUCUGUUCUCUGAAUUUACAUGGUGUUUCAUGCUUGCAAAUCAGCUGAAGGCAAAUUAUGUUGUGUUUCAAAGGGGAAAUAAAAACUUUUUGGGGGACAUCCACACAAUGUCAUUAAUUUAUAAUGCAUAACUUUAGAAUUUGUGAUAAUUUGGGUGGAUUGAACUAAUGUUUCCCUUUUAUAUGGGGUGCGUUAGCAAAUGGUUUGCUCAACUAAUUCAAAGCCUCCAGGACUCUGAGAAAAAUGUUUACCCACUUAGGAAAAGGGCCAUCUGUUCUAAGCACUGUAAAGGUUCCAUUUACAAAGCUGACUUUCAUCUCCUAUUCUCUGGCUUACAGAGCCCAUUCACAUGUAUCCUCUCAUUUUUGUUUGAUUUAUAUGUAAACCAUAUCAAGACACUUAAAUAGAGGUCAAGGGUGAUGUACACAUUAUUAAUAUUCUUUAAUCUAUUCAUGAAGAUGGGCCUUUUCCCAUAAUAACAGUUUUAAAGAAUUUCUUUGAAAAUAGUGAGUUCAUUUCAGAUACUGUAGGCUAUAUGGGGUUUCAUUAAUUCAGACUAUUCUGCCCUCUACAUUACUAUUAAUUUUUGUGGGGUUUUUUUUUGUAUAUUUGAAUUAUAUAGUAGUUUUCAGCCUGGGGUGAUGGGUAAUUUUGCUGUCAGGGGCCAUUUAUAGAUCUCUGGAGACCUUUUUGGUCAUCACAACUGGGAGAGGGUGCUACUUGCAUCUGGUGGACGGAGGCCAAUGAUGCUGCUGAGCAUCCUGUAAUGCUCAUGACAUGCCCCACGACACAGAAUCAUCCAGCACAAGUGUCAGGAGUGCUGAAAAACCCAGAUGUGAUCGGUAACUUCAAUUACUCGAUUG